rfam:Gorilla gorilla gorilla genomic chromosome, chr15, whole genome shotgun sequence
GCUGGGUGUGGUGGUGUGCACCUGUAAUCCCAGCUACUUGGGAGGCUGAGGCAGGAGAAUCGCUUGAACCCAGGAGGCGGAGGCUGCAGUGAGCCAAGACUGUAACACUGCACCCUAGCCUGGGCGACAGAGUGAGACUCAGUCUCAA